rnacentral:rRNA from 1 species
GGGCAAAAAAAUUUUUUUUUUUGGGGGGUUUUUCCCCAGCCCCCCCCGCCCCGCCGGGGAUAAAAAAAACCCCCCGCCACCCCCUUCACAAAGGUUGGUUUUCAGGGGAUUGGAUUUUUUUUUGGGGCCUAAAAAAGCCAUUCCCGUUUGCCCCGGGUUUAUUGUUUUGUUUUUUCGGUUUUAAAUUCCCAUGUGGUUCAACCACCAUGGGCUGGUUGAAAUUACCGCCAUAGGCUAGGGGAGGGGGGAGAAGUUGGACGGUAAUUCUGUAGGAAAGGGGUAAAAUCCUUUGAUCUAUAGAUGACCACCAGUGGCCGAAGGCGGUCUACCAGAACAUUUCCGACGGUGAGGAAUGAAAGCUGGGGGAGCAAACCGGAUUAGAUACCCGGGUAGUCCCAGCUGUAAACGAUGCAAACUCAGUGAUGCAUUGGCUUGUGGCCAGUGCAGUGCCGCAGAGAAGUCGUUAAGUUUGCCGCCUGGGAAGUACGUACGCAAGUAUGAAACUUAAAGGAAUUGGCGGGGGAGCACCACAAGGGGUGAAGCCUGCGGUUCAAUUGGAGUCAACGCCAGAAAUCUUACCCGGAGAGACAGCAGAAUGAAGGUCAAGCUGAAGACUUUACCAGACAAGCUGAGAAGUGGUGCAUGGCCGUCGCCAGCUCGUGCCGUGAGGUGUCCUGUUAAGUCAGGUAACGAGCGAGAUCCCUACCUCUAGUUGCCACCAUUACUCUCAGGAGUAGUGGGGCGAAUUAGCGGGACUGCCGCAGUUAAUGCGGAGGAAGGAGGGGGCCACGGCAGGUCAGUAUGCCCUGAAACUCUGGGGCCACACGCGGGCUGCAAUGGUAGUUACAGUGAGUUCCGAAUCCGAGAGGAGGAGGUAAUCUUCAAACGCUACCACAGUUAUGAUUGAGGGCUGUAACUCGCCCUCAUGAAUAUGGAAUCCCUAGUAACUGCGUGUCAUUACCGCGCGGUGAAUACGUCCCUGCUCCUUGCACACACCGCCCGUCGUUUCAUUGAAGUUUGCUUUUAGUGAGGUGACGUCUUCUUGGCGUUAUCGAACUUGAGGUAAGCGACAAGGGAAAAGUCGUAACAAGGUAACC